ACACACACACACACACACAAACACUACUUUUUCUCCAACCCUGUCAUUUAUAAAUAGUUCAGAUUUAAAAGAAUACAACCAGCAAGGCAACCAAGCAACUGGAAGCCAAAGAAGGUGGAACUAGGUCAUGAUCACGUAGAGGGAGGUAUAAAGAAACUACCGGCUCAAGCACAAGCUCAUUCAUACACACUCACAGAGACACCCGACCAAACACACACAACAUGCAACUCUGGCAGACUCUGGUUUUAUUUUAUUUUCUUUUUGGCAUGACUCAGGGUUCCUCUCAGCUUGUCUACGUGGAACCUGUUGAGAAUCCUACGUAUGACCAGGAGUAUCGAUGUAAAACAGAUCCGGAGGUGGAAAACACAGAAUACAGCUGGCGCAGGCAGGACUCGUCUGGACUUCCAGAAGGAGUGAAAGCAGAGGGAGAUAGACUGCAUUUUCUAAGGUUGGAUUCUGACCUCAAUGGUGUAUACAUCUGCGAGGUAAAGAACCAGAAAGGUUCUGCAGCAGGCUCACUCUUUCGAUACCAAGAAGGAAACCAUCCAGACCUGUAAUAGGGAACCCUUGAAACAGCUUCCUGGAAGAAUGAAAAAAAAACUCAUAAUAAAGAAGACUCAGGAUGAAGCCUGUUUUAUUUUAAAUUUCUUAUUUCUGUUUUUAGAUUUUAUAUUUCUUAUAUUUUUGUAUGUUAUAAUUGUCUAUUGCACACAUACCUUGCCCAGGUAAGAUCCAUAAUUAUGUACCAUGAAUUUUUUUUAUACCCCUUGAACUCCAAAUUUUAUAGCAUUAUAACCUAUAAUGAAAUCAAUCUCGUUGGGAUUUAAACAAUAUUUCUAACAUGUGAAGGUGCAUAAAAUUUCUUUUAAUAGUUACACUUAGGUUAAAAAAAUUGAUGAAGUCUUGCCACAUAUUCUCAGGUGGAUUGAAGUCUGAGCUUUGACUAGGCCAUUAUAGCACAUUCAGGUUAUUUGUUUUGAUCCACUCAAGCGUAGCAUUGUCAGUAUGUCUAGGGUCAUUGUCCUAUUGGAAAUUGAAUAUCUGCACCAGUCUCAAGUAUCUUGCAGACUGGAACCCUGCCCAGUUUCCCAGUCGAAUAGCUCUUUGUGCCAAGGCCAAAAAUUUUAAUUUUGGUCUCAUCUGAGCAAAGAACUCUUUUACACAUGUUUGCUGAGUCUCUAGCAUGCCUUUUGGCAAACUCUAAAUGGGAUUUCAUAUGGUGCUUUUUCAAUAAUGGCUUUUUUCACCACUCUUCCAUAAAGUCCAUCUUUGUGGAUUGUCCUCCUCAUUGUGAUUGGGCCAUAUUGUUUCCAGUUUUUAAUAAUGGAUUUAAUGGUGCUUCAUGGGAUGUUCAAACUUUGCCUCUUGACCUCCCUCCCACAACCCCAACAGAUAUUCUCCAUUCAGCUAAUUAUAUGACUUGUGGUGACUACUGGUUAACCCAGAACUAAUUAGGGGUCUUACAAUCUUACAACAGGAUACUUAUGAAAACAUAUUUAUUUGUUAAUACUUUUGCAAUAUUAUGGGCUAUUUUAUGUAAAUUACAUUAAAUCCCUUAAAGUACUGUAUCUAGUUAAUUGAAUGUCAUUUAUUUUUUAGGUGAAAUAGGGUAGGUACUUGUAUGCAGCUUGUCAUAUCAGUAAGACACCAAGCGUAUUUGAACCAUAUGUUUCUACUCAGGUGGUGUCAUGUGAUUUCACAGAAAGACUGCAGACUGUACUUGUGUGGUAUGCUAUGUAGGAUGUACUACAACUCAUCUGCCACUGAGAUGUAGUAGGAAGUAUCUCCUAUAGGGCAGACAUGAAGUCAGAAUGUAUGAAGGCUGGGGACAGCGUAUAUGUAGCAUACUCUUGCUAUAGGGCAAGCGUAUGCUUCUGGGGCAGUAGGAGCUCAGUGCUUAAGGUAUUAGGCUACUUCUUGGAAGGUAAUAAAUCCCAGCACUUCCAAGCUGCCACGGGUAGGUCCUUGAAUAAGACCCUUAACUGCACAAUUGUAUCCGGUCUCAACUGUAAAUCACUUUGGAUUAAAGCAUUAGCCAAAUGAGCCAAAUGACCUUUUUAUGAUAUCACAAUAUCACUGAAAAUGAAGGAAAAAAAAACGAAAAUUUGUUUCCCUUGAUCUUCAGAAAAUUUUAAUGACCAACUUCCUGUUGAAAAUGUGAAAAGACACUGUGAAUAAAGAUGUGCAAUUUUAA